rnacentral:rRNA from 1 species
GACGAACGCUGGCGGCGUGCUUAACACAUGCCAGUCGAACGGAAAGGCCCCUUUGGGGGUCCUCGAGUGGCGCACGGGUGAGUAACACGUGAGUAACCUGCCCUUGACUUCGGGAUAACUUCAGGAAACUGGGGCUAAUACCGGAUAGGAAUCCUUGCUGCAUGGUGGGGGUUGGAAAGCUUCGGCGGUUUUGGAUGGACUCGCGGCUUAUCAGCUUGUUGGUGGGGUAGUGGCUUACCAAGGCUUUGACGGGUAGCCGGCCUGAGAGGGCGACCGGCCACAUUGGGACUGAGAGACGGCCCAGACUCCUACGGGAGGCAGCAGUGGGGAAUAUUGCACAAUGGGCGGAAGCCUGAUGCAGCAACGCCGCGUGCGGGAUGACGGCCUUCGGGUUGUAAACCGCUUUCAGCAGGGGCGAAGCUUGUGGUGACGGUACCUGCAGAAGAAGCACCGGCUAACUACGUG